GAUGAACGCUGGCGGCGUGCCUAAUACAUGCAAGUCGAGCGAACAGACGAGGAGCUUGCUCCUCUGACGUUAGCGGCGGACGGGUGAGUAACACGUGGAUAACCUACCUAUAAGACUGGGAUAACUUUGGGAAACCGGAGCUAAUACCGGAUAAUAUAUUGAACCGCAUGGUUCAAUAGUGAAAGACGGUUUUGCUGUCACUUAUAGAUGGAUCCGCGCCGCAUUAGCUAGUUGGUAAGGUAACGGCUUACCAAGGCGACGAUGCGUAGCCGACCUGAGAGGGUGAUCGGCCACACUGGAACUGAGACACGGUCCAGACUCCUACGGGAGGCAGCAGUAGGGAAUCUUCCGCAAUGGGCGAGAGCCUGACGGAGCAACGCCGCGUGAGUGAUGAAGGUCUUCGGAUCGUAAAACUCUGUUAUUAGGGAAGAACAAAUGUGUAAGUAACUAUGCACGUCUUGACGGUACCUAAUCAGAAAGCCACGGCUAACUACGUG
rnacentral:rRNA from 1 species